AAACAUCCAAAAAUAUUUAAAUAAGUGGUAUUCUAUUAUUGUUUAACAGUGCAAUUAAAAUUGAUUAUUGCUUUUUUUUUUUAAAAAAAAUCUCACAAUGAUUUUUUUUUUUUUAAACAGUUUGACAGCCCUAAUUUAAAACAUGAGCUGCCAAUGAUUCCCCCCUUUUUGGUCAUCACAGGAAGACAAUAGAAACAAUCCCUCCAGAACAGGGUGGGGACACUGUACAAAAUCCAGUGGGGUCAGGAUCUCCUGAAAUGAGGGAAAGGGAGGUGGAAGUUUGCACUGCUACUAUUGCCUAGGCUCUUCCUUUGCUUUCCUUAGCAGAAUACAGCUAUCAGGGUUAUAAUGCCAGCACUCUCUAAGUGCUAAAUUUAUUCAAAGUAAAAGAAAAUGGAAACCAAAUGCCAGAGUAGAAAAGGGCUCAUUUAUCCCUGCACCACAUCCAAGAGGAUAACAUAUUGCACUGAUAUCCUCUCUUCAAAGUUUGUUUACGUGGGGAUGACACCCAGUUAUGACACACAAGGCAGCCUUUGUGUGGGGUUUGUUUUAAACAAAAGAAGGCCAACUCUGCCUUCUUCAGGAAACCUGCAUUUGUAAUAUUAGUCUAUUGCUAUGGAAAUUCUGAUGAACUUCCACAUACAACAUGAAUGGCUCACCUGCAGGAUCUAAUAGAAAAAGAUGACCAGGUCUGUCUCUUCUAUGCUGAUGCCUCCUGUGGCUGAGGCUUGCUGGGACAUUUGGAAACUACUGCUGCUACCGCUGGUGCUACCACUACUACUCCCAGUGCCAAUUCCACUUGUACCACUGCCUGAAAGUUCCUCUGCUUCAACCCGUUUUCUCUUGCCUCGAGAAGAGCGAACAACCGAAGUGCUGGUGCUACUGCUGCUGGAGGUAGCCUUGGAGACUGUAACACGGGAGGAAGGGCUUGGAGAGAGCUUCAACCUUAACGCAAUCAGACAGACAUUUUAACCAGAUGAAGAAGGUUGAAGUUAGAUUCUCAGGACUAGUCCCGGGAAUUGAGAGAAUUAAUCUAUACAAUAACAUGCCACAGUACACCAAUACCCUAGGCUUUUACGUGAACUGCUUUAAGGCAUGAUGACAGAAGCAGGAGAAACACAGAGCCCUGCAACCUUUGGGAGAAGUUUUCGGUAAGCACUGAUCUCCAUGUCCAGCGCUAAUUUGACAUCAAGCAGUUCCUGGUAUUCUGCAAGCUGCUGCUGCAUCUGGUCCCUCAUUUCCAUCAUUUCCCUCUCCUUGGCAUCUAGCAUCUUCCUGAACU